AUUGAACGCUGGCGGCAGGCCUAACACAUGCAAGUCGAACGGUAACAGGAAGCUGGUUGCUGCUUCGCGGACGAGUGGCGGGCGUGAGGGCUAUGACUGUGAAGCUGCCUGAUGGAGGAGGUUAACUACUGGAAACUGUAACCACUACCGCAUUAUGUCGCAAGGUCAAAGAGCGUCAGACUCGGGGCUCUCGGCUUCGGCUGUGUCCAGAUGGGAUUAGCUUGUUGGUGGGGUAAAGGCUCACCAAGGCGACGAUCCCUAGCUGGUCUGAGAGGAUGACCAGCCACACUGGGACUGAGACACGGUCCAGACUCCUACGGGAGGCAGCAGUGGGGAAUAUUGCACAAUGGGCGCAAGCCUGAUGCAGCCAUGCCGCGUGUAUGAAGAAGGUCUUCGGAUUGUAAAGUACUUUCAGCGGGGAGGAAGGGAGGAAAGUUAAUACCUUUGCUCAUUGACGUUACCCGCAGAAGAAGCACCGGCUAACUCCGUG
rnacentral:rRNA from 1 species